ACGACCUUACUUGAACAGGAUCUGUUCUAUAGGCUCGUACUACUGUGUCCUUGAUUUCAAAGGAGACAGGAACAUAAAUCUGGCGGAUGAACUAUUACCGUGCGAUCAGAGCGUGAUUAAUGGCCUUGAUGAUACUCAGUUUGAGCUAUCAUCCUUAGGCUGUAGAUGAUCGUUCUCGGCAGUGACAUCACUAUCGGGGUGGUCGUACGGUGUUCUGACAGAUU